AUCUCCAGUUCAGUCUGACAUUCUUUCUUCUGUGCUUCCAUAGCACUCUGCGCACACCUCUGUUAUGACCCUCACCCUCCAGCUCUGUGACUAUUUGUUCCAUGCCUGUCUCUCCCAUUAGAUCGUACGCUCCAUGAGAGAAGGUCUAGCCCACUGACUGACAAAUAGAAGUGCACAGAAGAUGGCGAAUGAACGAACAAAACAAAGCCUUAAAAAAAGGUGCUGACCUGUGUCUACCUGAAGUGGUUACUUGUACACAAAUCCACACCUGCCAGAUCUGCGCCAACUCAGAACCGAGGCAGGAGAGAGAAAAUACUGACCCACUUACAGCGUUGGUGCCACCCGACUCCUCAGCCGCCCGGAAGCCGAUCGUCUGCCUUUCCCCACCGCGUCAGCGCCGUGUCCCGAGCUGAAGGCCGGCGAGGAUGGCGCAGGCAGAGCUUGGUUUCAUGGACAAGCAGUUCAGAGUCACGUUUGAGGCAAUUUUUCCAGUUAGGAUAGCUGACUCAAAUUUCAGUUUUUCUUUGCUUCUCGGUUUUGAGGUACCAGAUGUGCUAAGCAUAAUAUGACAUAUUGUUAUCUUUAUUUAUUAGUCUCUGAGAAUUAAUUAUCUUUAGCUGAUACCAAGCUCACCUCUCCCCCAGUCACUGCGUGAUUGCUGUUUCAACAGAGAAGUCAAAGAAAAAGAUCAAGGUUUAGGGGCCCUCUCAAGCUUUUGCUCUCAUUUGACAUCCAGGAUUUCAUCUAUUUUUCACGCCAGUCAAUAACAAUUUGCCUGAAAUUCCAUUUUAAUGCUGUGAAGAUGACUGUGUCUCUCUCUGAAAUGCCGUUAGGUCCACCAGGUCAUUGACACAACAGAAAAACCAUAUUUCAGUCCUUUAUUAGUUGUAACUGAC
rnacentral:lncRNA from 1 species